rnacentral:rRNA from 1 species
UGCCAGCCGCCGCGGUAAUACAGAGGUGGCAAGCGUUAAUCGGAAUUACUGGGCGUAAAGGGUCCGCAGGUUGUUUAGUGUGUCGGGUGUGAAAUACUACCGCUCAACGGUAGAAUGGCACUCGAAACUGCUGAACUAGAGUUCUGGAGGGGAGAAGGGAACAGUUAGUGUAGCGGUGAAAUGCGUAGAUAUUAACUGGAACACCGGUGGCGAAGGCGCUUCUCUGGACAGAUACUGACACUCAUGGACGAAAGCUAAGGUAGCGAAAGGGAUUAGAUA